rnacentral:rRNA from 1 species
UGUUGGGGUAACGGCCCAACAAGCCAUUGAUCGGUACGGGUUGUGGGAGCAAGAGCCCGGAGAUGGAUUCUGAGACAUGAAUCCAGGCCCUACGGGGCGCAGCAGGCGCGAAAACUUUACAAUGCGAGCAAUCGUGAUAAGGAAACCCUGAGUGCCUGUCAAUGCAGGCUGUUCUGGUGUCUAACACACACCAGGAGAAAGGGCGGGGCAAGACCGGUGCCAGCCGCCGCGGUAAUACCGGCUGCUCGAGUGAUAGCCGCUUUUACUGGGCUUAAAGCGUUCGUAGCUUGGUCGUUAAGUCUCUGGGGAAAUCUUUUGGCUUAACCAAAAGGCGUCUCAGGGAAACUGGCGAUCUUGGAACCGGGAGAGGUAAGACGUACUUCGGGGGUAGGAGUGAAAUCUUGUAUCCCCGAGGGACGACCGAUGGCGAAGGCAUCUUACCAGAACGGCUUCGACAGUGAGGGACGAAAGCUGGGGGAGCAAACCGGAUUAGAU